rnacentral:rRNA from 1 species
AAAACGACUCUCGGCAACGGAUAUCUAGGCUCUCGCAUCGAUGAAGAACGUAGCGAAAUGCGAUACUUGGUGUGAAUUGCAGAAUCCCGCGAAUCAUCGAGUUUUUGAACGCAAGUUGCUCCCGAAGCCAUUCGGCCGAGGGCACGUCUGCCUGGGUGUCACGC